UUUGGAGAUGGAGUCUCACUCAGUCGCCCAGGCUGGAGGGCACUGGCGUGAUCUCUGCUCACUGCAAGCUCCGCCUCCUGGGUUCACGCCAUUCUCCUGCCUCAGCCUCCCGAGUAGCUGGGACUACAGGUGCCCACCACUACGCCCAGCUAAUUUUUUUUUUUUUGUAUUGUUAGUAGAGACGGGGUUUCACCAUGUUAACCAGGAUGGUCUCAAUCUCCUGACCUUGUCAUCUGCCCGUCUCGGCCUCCCAAAGUGCUGGGAUUACAGGCAUGAGCCACCGCGCCCAGCCAACGUCUUAUGUUUUUAUUUGCUUUGAGUGGCCAAAAAAUUGUAGAAUCAGUAAUUCGAGUAUAUGGGUGACUUUCAGUGUAAAACAACAAAAGCAAAGAUCUCAACCAGCUAAUUAUCUAUUCCUCAGUUUUGGUUGAAGAGAAGGCUCACAGAGGCUCAGGGAAGCCCUCAGGUUUCAUGGGGACAGCCUGAAGAAUGACCUUCAUAUAAUGGCCACACAGCCACUUGGGCCACCGGAGCUCACCGUGAGACACACUCACCAUCUCGUCUUCAUGUCUGCUUUUCAGAUCCAAAUCACAUGCAGUCUGUUUUCACCUAAGAGGUUGCCGUGAGGGCCUGAAUGCUAUAAAAGGGAAGCAGAGGAGUGCGGUGGGAUAACUCUGGAGGUGGAUGGUGCUCCCUUUAGUUUUCUGGCAAGAAGCUAGGGAGAAGGUGACUUGAGCUCCUCGUGUGUUUUGAUCACUCAACAAAGAAGACAAAAGGGCGUUUCAUAACCUGACAGUGGGAGAGCACAUUAAAAAGGAGCUGAGCUGACCUUUGCACUGUCUAUGAAGAAUGAGUUUCCUAAACUCAUCAUAGCAACAAGAUAUAACGGGGGUUAUUAAGCCACUAAAACUUUUUCUGAAUUCAUAUGCACUUUUUCCCAAAUAGAAUGCUGACGACAAAUAAUUUUAUCAAUCAUUAAAGAAGAUCCCUUCAGAACCUCUCCAGGGAAAUACUUGUAGCUUAGUUCUGGUUAGCACGUAAUGCCACAAGAAUCUGGCAUCAUUUAGACCAGCCAUUUAUUCAGAUAUCAAGAGCAAGAGACUGUAACUGAUUCCCUGACCUCUGACUAAAAACAAAUAUAAACAGUUCUGUGGACUAAAUGUUGUUUAUCCUGGGAAGGAUGUGGUUUUAUCACUGUUGCCCACAGUAACUGGUCAGCCCCUGUGUCUCAGAAGGGAGCUGAGAAGGCUUGAAAGGGUACACCUACCUGUCCUGGCUGAGCAAGAGGGCCAUCAGAGUGGAGACCACUGUUCCCAGCCAGCCAGUGAGAGCCCACCAGGGGUUCUGAACAAGAAGUCCUACCAGAAUCAGGAUUCCACUGACGGGGUUGUUGACGAACACCACUUGGGAUAUGCCCCGGAGAAUCCAGUCAAUGAACUGGAGCACCACGGGUUUGUCUGGAAGGGAUGAGGUAAAGCAGAGCUAAGGAAGCUGCCAAGUGAUACUCUUCAACCACAGGCCCACCCUGAGCAAAAUCAGCAAAACCUCCUGGAAGUGAAACAUUUUUGAUAUUUCUUUAAUAUUUCUCUCUCAACCCAUUGUUGCAUUAGUGGCACCCAGAUCCCUGAAAGCCUCUAUCUACUGUAUGCUCAACCCACACUGCCCCUCCUAGAAUCUAAGCUCCUGAAAGCAUCUAAUGCACUUAUUUUCAUGCUUAUAGGUACAAAUUCUGAAGCCAAAGGAAUAAAUUUAAGUUUUAAGUACUGAAACUACAGGAUGAAGCCAGGUGCCUUCUAAUAUGAGCUGGGCCCUGGCUACUGUCUCCAUAAGAAAAAAAAAUGGAGAGGUUUGCAGGUUAAAAGAUAAAAGUAGAAAAAUGGUGAGUAAAGAGAUCUAUAAAAAGUUGGAGAAUAUAACUAAAGGUAUAAGUAGAAGUACCAGGAAACCAUUUCCCCCAAAGCUACUUCUCCUGUCUCUCCAAAAUGUGAAAGGAUAAAUACCUUUAAGCUGGUUGGCAAGUUCUUUCAUGUCACCGGUGACAUAGCCAAGAGCUUUGGGGAA
rnacentral:lncRNA from 10 species